rnacentral:rRNA from 1 species
AGUGAACGCUGGCGGUAGGCCUAACACAUGCAAGUCGAACGGCAGCACAGUAAGAGCUUGCUCUUACGGGUGGCGAGUGGCGGACGGGUGAGGAAUACAUCGGAAUCUACUUUUUCGUGGGGGAUAACGUAGGGAAACUUACGCUAAUGCCGCAUACGACCUACGGGUGAAAGCAGGGGAUCUUCGGACCUUGCGCGAUUGAAUGAGCCGAUGUCGGAUUAGCUAGUUGGCGGGGUAAAGGCCCACCAAGACGACGAUCCGUAGCUGGUCUGAGAGGAUGAUCAGCCACACUGGAACUGAGACACGGUCCAGACUCCUACGGGAGGCAGCAGUGGGGAAUAUUGGACAAUGGGCGCAAGCCUGAUCCAGCCAUACCGCGUGGGUGAAGAAGGCCUUCGGGUUGUAAAGCCCUUUUGUUGGGAAAGAAAAGCAGCAGGUUAAUACCCCGCUGUUCUGACGGUACCCAAAGAAUAAGCACCGGCUAACUUCGUG